rfam:Dipodomys ordii contig_54640, whole genome shotgun sequence.
GGGAAUGUGGCUUAGUGGUAAAGUGCUUGCCUAGCAUGCAUGAAGCCCUGGGUUUGACUCCUCAAUACCA